rnacentral:lncRNA from 1 species
CAUUGGCUGCAGGGCGCGCGGCGCAGCUGUUCUGAUUAUCAUAUUUCAGCCUCGCCGCCGCUGAGCGCCACUGACCGCUCGGCGAGCCAGCGGGAGAGGAUUAGGGCUCCCGAGGCAACUUGCUCGGGGCUCAGGCCGUUCUCCCCCGAAGCUCGGGCUGCCGGGCUGUUCUGGCUCUGGCCUCCCUCUCCUCCUCUUCCUCUUCCUUCUGUCCCCUCCCGCGUUCCUUCCCGGCCGCGCCGCCUGCGCCCUCGCCUCCUGUGGCGCUGCUCCUCCGCCCUGCGCUCCUGGGGUCCCCGCAGUCCGGCUGGCCGCGUUGCGCGCGGGGCUCACUUUCUGCCGCCGGUGGCGAGUGGCUGAACUCCUAAGUGACCAGGAACAGACGAUUUUUAACCGAGUUCUGCUGCGUGGAGCCCAGGUUGGCGCUAGUGAGUGCAGUGUGCUGACCCAAGUGGUGGUGGCCCAAGGACGCGCUGACCCGUACAUUUGGCAAAGCUUUCAUUAAAUGUAUCAGAUUCUCGCGGAAGUGGUUGCAGUCCGGAGAGUGAAACAGCUAUCUCUCAAGUCCUGACCGGUUCAGCUGAAAUCUACAUUUGCACUGAAUCUGGCAAAACACGGACGGGUCCGCCCGAGAUCUCAGGAAACCCAGAGCAAGUUACCUCCAUGUAGUUGAUCAUUCUUUCUGAAAGGACGGACACCAUUUACCCCACUGCAAUCCUGUCCAACGGGCAGCUCUGAGUUUAGCUUUAGCGCCAAAGGAUUGAUUUCCCCCACCCGCUGGAGAUUUACUGGGGACGAGCGGGGGAGGGGAGGCGAAGGUACCUCGGAGGAGGUCAAGUGGGGGAGGAGGAGGAGCAGCAGAAAAUUACCAGCCAAGCAGGGGAGGGAGUUGGAAGCCCGGAAAUAUACCAGGAUGCCUCAAGUAACCUUCCUUUAAGUCUCAGAAUUCAGCCCUCGGAAAACAGCCUCAUAAGGUGUCCUGGGAAGGAGUCCUCGGGUGGGCUGCGGAGGUGAUGUCAAGAGUUACAGCUACUUUAUGAAUUAAACUGACGGCUAAGGCAUGUCGGGACAGUUUAGUGUAAGCUGAAUGGUGCGUGGACGGGGCAACUUUUAAAGAGAGGUGGGCAAUCAUUGGUGGCAUCUACCAGUAUAUUCUGCAUGUAACAGUAGUUUGGAAGCUGAAGAAAAACCCCUCAAAUCCCAGUAAAUGCCCGGUCAGUUCGAGAGAGAUUUUAGGGACAAUUUUGAAGGUCGCUGUCUGCUCCAACUCCGCAGAGAUGAACAAGAGUGUGAACUCUGGCGCGGGUGUGUUUAGAAUUAUCUACGACUUCAGAUCCAUGCUGUUGAAACUCAUCAAUUCUUUGUGACUUCACGUGGAGAGAAGAAUUUGCCCUGCCUCCCUACCUGCUAAAUGCCGACUGAGAAAAGGGGCCCAGGAGACGACCCCUUUCAGAAAGAACGUCACUUCAUCAACUCGGCUGAGUUAUUAACUUGCUCCCCGAAAGGUCAACAACGCCUUCUCUUCUCAGCCGCACCGCGCGGAGAUCAAUCGCUUUACCCUAGGUAGCCUCUUGUUCAGGGCUCAGGAACUCCUGUCUUAAGGUCCUUCUGGGGCUCAGAAGCUGUGUUGUGUAUGUUCUUUCCAAGAAUCCCACCUGUCUGCUUUCAAGCACACACGGCGCUAGAAAUUUAGCCUAGCCUGAGUCCUGGGAUGAGAGAAGAGCUAAACAAAGAGACCCCAACCGUCCCCUUGGCCCCCUGCCCCGCCGUUUUGCAGUUUGCCAACCUUCUAGCUAGACAGCCCCCUAAGUCUCCGUGUUGCGAGUGAAAGAGAAUUUUUCUAUUUCAUCUUCCCAUUGACCGAAGCAGAAAAAUUGAACCGAAUCUACGCCCCUUGUUCUGAUUCCUGCUAGAGGAAAACAGAAAAUCAUCCCGCAGGUCUCUUUCAGUCCCUGGAUGGCGAGCGCAGCCCCUGGGAGGCCACACUUAGUUCUUUAUUGUGAAUCUCUCGCUACUCAAGUUCGUUCGGGACCAGGGCCUCGGAUGGCCUCGGUUGCCCGUAAGUACGCGAAAGAAGAGGUGAAUCCAAUCGCUGGCCUAGAGGAUAGUGAUCAGACAACCCGAGGAUUACUAAACAAGGGGCGGCGGUGUCCCUGUCUCAUGGGGUUGGCGUGGGGCGGGGGGUAGGCAGCAAGAUCCUCCAGGCUCCUGGAUGCAAAGAGUGAGAAAGAAAGCGCAGCCUCUGGCAGCCUGCUUAUAAAUGCAGCCUUUCGGAAGAUGAAACUUGCAGUCUUAGGUUGUCCUCCUUUAUAUCCAUGUUCCAAUCCUCUGGGCUUUCCUCGAAAUGAAUAAAAUUGUGGAAAUGAAUGAAUGAGAAUAUCACUUUAAUUGUUUCAAACUCAUUGUCAAGUCACCUUUUCUGCCAUCUGCCAGAGGUUCAAUUUGCGCUUCGUGUCUACAUUCCAGAAAAUUGUAAGGACGUUUCCUCUGCAUCUGUCUGCCUUGUUGGCAGCGUGCGGAAACGAUAACUGCACAGUUAUUGGUACAGAAUAUUUUCAUGACUAGCUUAAUUCUAAAUAUCACCCCAAAAUACAGAUACCUUACUUCUUAGUUGGCAUUAUUCAAGUUUAUUCACUUUGUGCUGCAAAUGUUUGAAUUAGAAAACAGGAGAGAACUCCCGCAGCAGAGAUGCACUUCUCUGCUCUCCUGUCAGUCACAGAACCCACACUGGGUGAUUAGCCAGAGGGGCGGGCUCCUUUGUUGACUUAAGAGUUCACCAGGCAAGAUGGAACAAUUAUCUUGUUGCCUCUUCUUAACUGUCUAUUGUUGACUUACUUCUAGUAUGCUUCCAUUGUACAAAAUUCUAUCCAAAAUUGAAGAAUAAAUCGUAAGUUAAAAAGGUAAUAAUGAUAAUAGGUCUACUUUAAUUUUACCUGGCUUUGUUAAUAGAUAGUCUAUACCUGACAGUCAUAUACAUAAGAGAUGUCGAAAGUAUAUAGCAUAUCAUUUAUGUAUAAUUAUAUAUGUUAUAAUUAUAUGCUAAUGAUACCAUCAUUUAACGUUACAAGGUAAUUCUAUAGAAAACUUGAAGUUCUAUUUUUGAUAUAUAUAACACCCUCUUUACAAGAAAAUAAUUGUCAGGCUUAAAAAUGAUAUUCAAGGGUGCUUUUAUCAAGAGAACAAAAUCUGAAGCUUCAUGAACUAAAAUCCUAUCAAGCAAGGUGGUCCAUAACUAGGUUGCUUUGGGUUAAUGAUAACUUAAAAUACUCUUGUUUUUGUAACUUUUUGUGCACAAAGUGCACAUUUUACAGUUGUGCAUGUCAAUGUGUGUUUUACCACUUAUUAUUCUGAAACCUUCAGUCACAUCAUUUCAGCAGGAAAUAAAACCUGAAUAAGUCCUAGGCAAUGUGUAAGGAAUAAGUAUGGUUUAACUUUUGUAGCUUAACAAUAUUGUGCUGAUCUUUAAAUGCAAAUAUUAAUAUAUUGAAAUUAAUAUAAGUAGAUAAUUUCAUCACCUCCUAAUUUAUAAAAAAUGGAAAAGCAAAUAUAACAAGCUGCUUUACUUUCUAUAAUGUCUAUUUAAGGACCUAUUACCAAAAUAUAGUAAUAAUAGGAUUCAUGUAUGUGUAACACAUAUGUAGCUAUCACUCUAUUAUUGGAGAGUUCAGUCUAGUUAUAAACACACUGAACUAUCAUAUGAUGUGUGCCAUUACUUGAAUGUUGCUAAAUUGAUGCUAUGCUAUAUUUUAAGACUCUCCCUCCUCUUUCCAGAUACAUGUACUAGCCCAGGAAGAUCCCUGCAUCUUGAACAGUAAUGCUGAAUCGGAAACUAUGUCGUUACCCAUAAGUAGAAUCCUCCUGACUUUCACUUAAAUAUCAGGACCCAAAUUAUUUUAUGUCUCACUUCAGAACAUAGCACAAUGUGCUAUUUUAUCUUCUUGGCCCAGUCUUUAGAUUUAUUCUAUACUCUCCGUGUUACAAGCUGCACAAACCAUUGGUGACAAUGAGAACCACUCUAUAUAGUUUUACUGACUUUGGAUUCUCAUAUAAUGUAUGAACAAAUAUAAGCCAUAUCUUUUAGGUCUUGACGAUGUGUUUCUUCCAAUUCUGAAGUGUUCGUAUAGUUGUCCCUAAUGUCACGUGAUACGUCUCUUCGUUGUCCUAUACCCGAGCCAUAGCAGAUCUGAUGUGACUUUGGAUAUACCAUGUGAGGGCAAGCAUUUUCUUUUAGGCUAGGCCAUCAAUGAGGAAGAAACAUGAGUAGAGCUCUUAAAGCAGAGGAAAAUGUAAGUGGAUGGAAAAAAAUCACACUUUUGAAUAUAGUAUUGGAGAAAGAAUUGAGUGUGGGUGACUUUAUUAGCUAGCAGAAGAAAGAGUGAAAAUAGGUGCUUGGCUAAGAUGAGAAAAGUAUUCAAUUUUGAAAACAGAAAGAGAAAGCUUAUUUAGAAAAAGAAAACAUGGAGUAAAUGUCAAGAGGAACAUAAAGAAAUAGGGCGUGGUGACCCAGUUCAUUCUGAUAGAAUAGGCGUUUAAGGGCAAAACCCAGAUCCGAAAUAGGUAGUGGAUGGAACUAGGGAACAGUAGAUUCAUAAUUAUUUUAACUUGGCAUUUAAAACUUUAAAAUCUGAGUUGAGGGGUUUUUUUUAAUGGUAGAAAAGCAGCUUAUUUGGCAAUAAUUUUAAAAACUUCUGUCGCAUCUUUAAUCAUACUAGACUGUUCACCUUUGUAAACUCCUCACUAUCAGUAAACUGUCAGUACACUGUCAGUACAGAAAAUACAAACUAAAAGUACUAGAAAUAUCACAAUACGGAUUUCUCUUUUUAAUGUAACUAGGUUUAUCUAACAAUAAGAUUCAGGAUUCAGAAAAGAAAAAAGACCAGAUCUGAGAAGGAAUUUUAAAAAAUGGUUUCAAAGUUUUCCAGAGUUUUGUUAGCCAUUGCCCUUUCUGCAGACGUGGUUAUAUCAGAAAGUGUAAUUCAAGUAUUUGCACUGCUUACUUAAACCACAAUAAAAAGGGAAAGAUGUUGUGAAAACACUGCCUCAUGCUCAAAUUUAUGCAAAACAACUUGAAAGGCUGCCAGCAACACUGUUGUUAUGUUAGCAGUUCUGAUCUGGCUUCACAUUCUCCUAGAGGAGUUCUUCUGAUGUGAGAAGAAUGUAAACCCAAACCACAAGGGAGUAUUCAUUGUACCUAUGCACUUGGGAAGAGUUUGGGUGCCCAAAAUGUCAGAAAAAUCAGAUACAGUUGUUCUCUUAGAAUCUAUUCUGGAGGUCACAAGGUCAGAAUGCCUGCACAUGUGCAUAAACCAACAUGCCCAUAAAAGCCUGAUAGGAGGCAGCAGUGCCCCAUAAAAGGUCACACCCAGCCAGAAUCCAGCAACGUUGGAACAGCGUCUGUUAUGGAGAAGAAAUAUGUGUCUGACAGCAGCAACAGCAGCAGCAGAGAAAGAUGGAUUGGGGAUUAAUCAUGGUAAGAUACUGAGCAAAAGAGACAACAAAUUCUGCCAAGCAUGAAUCCUUCUCUACUCACAGGUUUCACAAAAUACACUCUUCAAAGUACAAGCUGGUUGGCCAAGGUCAGGUUGAUCUUUGCUAGGCUAAAGAAGCAGCUGCGGAGUGUUUCCCACGGCAGAUGGAGAACACCUAAGGAUUUUUUACUGUUAAAAAAAUAAUAAUUUGUGUUUCAACAGUAGAAAUACUCCUGAUAACACACGUGAUCAAAAUUGCAUUCCCCCUCAGUUCUCAUGACAUUCACUUUGGGGUAAUACCAUUUAAAAAAUAUUAUUGGUAGCUGUUAGCCUGUGGCUUUCCAGGACCUUACUUUUAAUGUAUUUCCCUUGUCUUUCUAGAUUUAACAUAUUGCCUCAUUUCAUAAUCUCCCUUCAUUGAGAUCAUUUGUAUAAGCAAAACAUGUUACAUGACAGUCUUUGGAAGACUGAAUAGGCGCCACUAAAUUGUGCAGUUUAGAGGGCUCUAGGCAAGGCCACCCAGACUGAAAUGGUAGCCCCUCUAUAUCUGUCAAAGCAUCUCAAAUAACUCUAAGAAAGAUUUACUACUUUGACAAUCAUAAAGACUCUUUAGUUUUCAGGAGGUUUUGUUUAGUUUUGUUGGUUGGUUAUUUAAUGCCAAAGCUUUCUGUAAUUGAUUUUUCCUGCUUCUUUACCCAUUUGUACCAUUAUGAAGAUUUCUAUAAUAAGCAUGCCAAUAAUAAGAAAAAAGAAGGAAAGAAGGAGUUGAAAAGGAAAUAAAGAUGAUAAACCUAAAAAUAAAUGAUACACAAUGGAAUACUAUUCAGCAAUUGAAAGAACAACUGAUACAUACUUUAACAUGGGUGGGUGAGUCUCAAUAUGCUGAGUAAAAGAAGCCAGAACAAAAAUGGACACUCUAUAAUUCUACUUAUGUAAAACUCUAGGAUAUACAAACUAGUGUUUGACAAACUGAUAGUGAAAGAAAUCAGAUGAGUGGUGACUGUGGGAUGGAGUAGGCGAAGGGUAGAUGGGAAAGGCAGAGAUUAAAAAGGGACUAGAGGAAAUUUUUGGAAGUGAUAGACAUAUUCCUUAAUUUAUAUUCCUUAUUUUUAUUGUGGUAGUUUAAUGGGGGUAUGCUGUGGCAAAGCUUACCAAAUUAUAUAUUUUAAAUAUGGGCAGUUCAUUGUGUAUCAUUUAUACCUCAAUAAAGCUAUUAAAAAUAGAAAAGAAA